rnacentral:rRNA from 1 species
UACGAAGGGGGCUAGCGUUGCUCGGAACUACUGGGCGUAAAGCGCACGUAGGCGGCUCUUUAAGUCGGGGGUGAAAUCCUGGAGCUCAACUCCAGAACUGCCUUCGAUACUGUAGAGCUUGAGUUCGGGAGAGGUGAGUGGAACUGCGAGUGUAGAGGUGAAAUUCGUAGAUAUUCGCAAGAACACCAGUGGCGAAGGCGGCUCACUGGCCCGAUACUGACGCUGAGGCACGAAAGCGUGGGGAGCAAACAGG